AGCGUUGUUCGGAAUUACUGGGCGUAAAGCGCACGUAGGCGGCUUUGUAAGUUAGAGGUGAAAGCCCGGGGCUCAACUCCGGAAUUGCCUUUAAGACUGCAUCGCUAGAAUUGUGGAGAGGUAAGUGGAAUUCCGAGUGUAGAGGUGAAAUUCGUAGAUAUUCGGAAGAACACCAGUGGCGAAGGCGGCUUACUGGACACAUAUUGACGCUGAGGUGCGAAAGCGUGGGGAGCAAACAGG
rnacentral:rRNA from 1 species